rnacentral:rRNA from 1 species
GCUUGUCUCAAAGAUUAAGCCAUGCAUGUCUAAGUAUAAAUCUUUUACUUUGAAACUGCGAACGGCUCAUUAUAUCAGUUAUAGUUUAUUUGAUAGUCCCUUACUACUUGGAUAACCGUAGUAAUUCUAGAGCUAAUACAUGCGUCAAUACCCUUCUGGGGUAGUAUUUAUUAGAUUGAAACCAACCGCUUCGGCGUGAUGUGGUGAAUCAUAGUAACUGAUCGGAUCGCAUGGGCUACGCCCGCGACAAACCAUUCAAGUUUCUGCCCCAUCAGCUUUCGAUGGUAGUGUAUUGGACUACCAUGGCUUUUACGGGUAACGGAGGAUUAGGGUUCGAUUCCGGAGAGGGAGCCUGAGAAACGGCUACCACAUCUAAGGAAGGCAGCAGG